UACACAAUUCACUCCUUUAGGUAUUUACUACUUUUGACCCUUUUAAAAAUAAGAUUUAAUGUGCUCUCAUAUUAAUCAUCUCAUUUAUAGCCUAGACGCACAGAAGCAGGAAUAGUUGCUAGAAUUGUGGCACGAAGUUCCACUAAUGAUUUUGUUUUCAGUUGCUCCCUUUCUACUGAAUAACGUUGUUACCGUUCCCAGACACAUGAGGGUUUCUUUAAUUACUGUGAAGUAGGUCCCUUUUUAUUUCUCGGUAGUGUAGCUUCAUCUCUCUUUCCAUGCUCAUAGCAUGGGGAAAUUGAGGAGCAGGACUAUUUACAAAAACACGGGUAAGGUGAAAGACCGCCACCAAAGGAAAUGCCCUAUCCCAGGGCUAAAAUCAAUGGGGGAACUGUUACCUCUUGGGCUUGCAGAGGUACAGGAGAGGGCUGUCACUACAACCUAGAGAGGAUGGCCACUCAGAACCCAGCCUUUGGCAGAGGAAUAACUGCAGCAGGUGCCACCCUUUGACUCAGUAGAGCAAGAACCAGAGUUCAGAAGGCACAGGAGCUGUUGGUGGGAUCCAUAUGCCCUGUCUCUUGGGCACAGAGAGGUAGGCUAGGGAGAGAUUGGGGUGCACAGAGGACACCCGGAGCAGCAGGCAUUCAGAGGGGCAAGCAGAGUGGUGCUUAGAGGAAUUCGAUUUUUUUAGGGGCUAUGACAAGAUGUAAAGAGUAGAGGAGAAAGAGGACCCUGUGACCCCAGUGUCUUGACCGUCCACGUGGGAAGCAUGUGGCCUUAUAUUGUGGAGAGAUCCAGACUGAGUCACUCUUCUGGAGGCAACGUGGAGACCCACCAUGAAGAUCUGAAACCAACCAUGCAUUCACCUCCGCUCUCCAAGCUCUGUCUCUGAAGAGAGUGGGAUUACCAGAAAGGUCUGAAUUGUAAUGGCUGAAUGUUCUAGAUGGCUGUUGGUCCCCGGAAUCAACAGGAAGCGAUGAGCCCUUUGAUAACAGGUGCUUCUGGGAGCAGUCCCUGCUAGCCAGCUUAGCUUCAAAACAGAGCAAUGCUAGAAAAGACAAGGACUGGAGGCUGAGAAAGGUGAGCCAGCGCCAUGAGGAGUGGCUGCCUCUUGAAUCCUGUCAGUCUCCGGCAGAUCCGAUUACAUCUGGGGCCCUUAAGAGUACUUCAAGCAAACGGCGCUGGUCUAUUUUAAUCCUGCUCCUUCUAGAAACCAGAAACUGUAAGGAGAGUCUUCCUGCUGACAGGUGGCUCCAUAAAAGUCGUCCAUCUGCUGCUAAUUAUGGCAGAAAGAAAAUUCACAGAGCCGAGUUUUCAGUUUAUUUGCUAAAGAUCUCCAAAGGUGUAACUGUCUUCCCAGAUCACAAGGCCAUUCACAGCAUUACAUCUAGAGCGCUUGUUAAUUAUUUAAAUAAUUUACAACCCGGGGUGGCAGCGAGCAUUUAA
rnacentral:lncRNA from 1 species